rnacentral:tRNA from 1 species
GGGGGUAUCAGUUAAUUGGCAAACUACUCCUCUCCAAAAGGAAUACUCUAGGUUCGAGUCCUAGUACCCCCG